AACUUUUGUAUUCCAGUGCUUUUAAAUCAACCCUGUUAAUUAUUUACUCACUCAAUGAUGGUUUGGUUAAUGAGUUGUUAAUAAAUUAACCAUCAAAUUCGUGUCAUUAAUAAAGAAGGACAAAGUGGAAAAGAUUACCAAUGGAAAAAUAUGCCUCAAAUGACUAUAAAUCUAAAGGAUGAUAAUGGAAAAUUCCUAGGCAACACUAAAUCACUCUAUUUCCAGCUCUGUACGAGGUAUGAACAUAAUCUGAAGAUUUGGAGAGACAAGGUUAACAAAAGACCCCUAAGUGGAUCCAACACUUGUCCAAAGUAGCCCAAAGGGAAUGGUAGCUACAAGGGGACGCCAAGCAACCCAGAGACAGAAGGAAAAGACCUUCACUAGAUGGAAAAAAAGAUUUAUGGAUUUAGUUCAUUAUCAUGGUCAUUAUUUCAAGAACGAAAAGAAAGUUACUUGCUUUGUUCCAUUAUUGUUAUCAUUACUGGACCUAUCGUGGACCAAAAUCUGACAUCUCAAUCUACCUAAAGGUCAUAAAAAUGGGAAAAAGAUCCUGUCGUCCUGGUUUUGGUCCUCUUUUUGUUACAAAAAUUUCGCAGGCUUUGUUUAAUGGAACAUUCACGAACUCAAUAUUUUCCAAAGUUAAUUAACUCUAUUGUAAUGGACACGAUUUACAGAAGGAGAGAGAUUUAAAAUAACAACGAUCCAGGCAAAGAUUGUCCGUUUGAUUGACUCGCUGGUUGUAUAUGAAUAGGUUUCUAGUAAAUUGAAAUCAACUUAACUUACCUCAAAAAAGUUGUACCAAUUAAGAUGUCAAAUACCCAAAGGAGCAAAAAAAAGACCAACUAGAUCCCUGACUUGGCCAAUUUUUGGUGUCCACUGUUAUUUAAACAAGUGACCCCAAUAUUUCUCUCUAUUUAAGCGUAACUGAAAAACGUAAUGAUCACUAGAGAGGUUAUUGCAUGAUUAACAUUUCAACUAAUAACAGCUUAUUCAGUUCAAUCGUCUGACCGAACGGAAAAUAACAGUUGCUAUUAUAUUACAUUCAAUGAGUUGAAAUUUUUUUA